AUGGCUUCUGCAACACAUAUACUAAAAUUGGAACGACACAGAGAAGAUUAGCAUGACUCCUGUGCAAGAAUGACACACAAAUUUGUGAAGUGUUCUAUAUUUUU